AGUGAACGCUGGCGGUAGGCCUAACACAUGCAAGUCGAACGGCAGCACAGUAAGAGCUUGCUCUUACGGGUGGCGAGUGGCGGACGGGUGAGGAAUACAUCGGAAUCUACUUUUUCGUGGGGGAUAACGUAGGGAAACUUACGCUAAUACCGCAUACGACCUCCGGGUGAAAGCAGGGGAUCUUCGGACCUUGCGCGAUUGAAUGAGCCGAUGUCGGAUUAGCUAGUUGGCGGGGUAAAGGCCCACCAAGGCGACGAUCCGUAGCUGGUCUGAGAGGAUGGUCAGCCACACUGGAACUGAGACACAGUCCAGACACCUACAGGAAGCCGCAGUCGGGAAUAUUAGACAAUGGGCGCGAGCCUGAUCCAGCCAAACCGCGUGAAUGAAGAAGGCCUUCGGGUUGUAAAGCCCUUUUGUUGGGAGGGAAAAACAGCAGGUUAAUACCCCACUGUUCUGACGGUACCCAGAGAAUAAGCACCGGCUAACUUCGUG
rnacentral:rRNA from 1 species